CCCUGACCCUAGCAUGGGUAGUGAUUUGGAGACUCCACAAAGGCAUUGUAUCAGAUAGAAAAUUCACACUGAGUCACUCACUCCAAGACCUAAGUGGCUGCAGCUGGGCUCCCUUGUGACAGCUGUCAUAGAACUGCAUCCUGCACUGGGAAUUAUGGCUCCCAUAUCUUCACAUUCCACAAGUCCCCACUGGCAUUAGUAACCCAGUAACCUUAGUGCUACAGUGGCAUAGCACUGGCUGGACAUAAAGGUGCUAUGGGGUCCCUGGUAAUGUAGCCUUGGAGUACUAUUCCCAGGGAAAGAGCAGUGCAGAACACAAAAAAAGGCAGCCCAUGGAACAAAGGCAACCAAAAUGUGUGCUUUCCAGAACCCAAGAGCUCCCUGUCUGGGCCUAUGAGAAAUGACUCCACUCCCAGCAGUGACACAAACACUGUGCUUGGUUUUGCAAGCAAAGCAUGAAGUUCUUUCCCACUGGCAGAGCAGGCUCUGUGCUAGAGCUCAUGCAUAGAGAGCAGAACACAUUCUUCCCUUCUGCAUACUGCUGUUGGCACAGUCAUUGUUGCUACUGCUGAAAGCUGAGGAAGAGAUGGGGUUUCACCAUGCUGUCCAGGCUCGUCUCGAACUCCUGACCUCAGAUGAUCCACCCGACUCGGCCUCCCAAAGUGUGUGAGCCACUGCCCGACCAGAACUCAUUUUGUAAAAUAGAUCACUCUGGCUGCUGUGAGAAGAUCACCUGUGAGAAAUCCACAUGGAAGCAGGCAGAUGACAGCUUUCAAUCCCUGAUGGGUGAGAGAAGAGGGGAGGCCUUCUUCCACUGUGGGUUGCUUCCAAACAUGGAGAUUGGGUUAUUGAUGCAACCAGAUGGCAAGUAAAGAAACAACUUGCUGAAACACUGAAACUCCCUCGCUUGUAAGACAACAAAACGGACUGAAAUCAGUUAGAACCAAUAUGGCCAACUAGAGACUGCGCAGAACCAGCUUGCGGACAGUACAGCUUGAAUUUUCACCGUUUGUUUUACACUAACUCACCACAAAUUUGCAUGUGGGACCCACAAGGGAGCAGGAAGAGAUAACUGUGCAUGUCUGAGGGCUUUCCUGACCUUCCCUUUCCUUCUAUCCAUCACCUACUAAUCCCAGAAUCCACCUUCUCAAUCCUAAUACAAUUAAUGUCUUAGAGCUUGCGUGAGUAGAUGGAUUUGAGCUGAGAUGAUGUCUCCAUGUUAGUCAAUUAGCAAUUGACUAACUAAUUGAAAAACUAAGCAAUGGAAAAACUAAGGAGUUUUUCUUGUCUUAAAACCCAGCAUCAUAGCAUUGGCUUCUAGUGCAUUAGGCAGUGAGCCCCUUUUGCUUGAUGAUAGCACCACUAGAACUUUGGAUUCUACAGCUUGCAAGGGUCUUUGCAGUGGCCUUGAUGGAAAGGGCAAGGGCAACUCCACAACAACUCGAAUACUUCUGACAGUAACUAGAAUAUUUCUGAUAAGCUUUUGAAAUAUUUUAUUGAUGCAAUCAGUUCAUUCUAGUCAAAGGAAAGAGAUUCAUGUUAUCUAGGACUUCUUUUUCCACAGAAUACUCUAAGUAUACCUCCCACCACAGAGAUUGAAUAGUGCAGCCUAAAAAAAAACAACAACAAAAAAAAACAAAAAAAAAAACCACACUGUGCUUUUCUGGUUUUAGUCCUUCAACUCUGUAUGUUAGAAGAUGAACUCUCAAGGUCCUGGUGUUUUUGAUUCUUUAUUUCUCCCAAGGUUGUCUAAUAAAAAUACAUUUAAUCUGUCAACCCCCUUACAUGACUGUCCGGAGCUGCGUGGCCCAGGCAUAGCGAUUAUAACUGACGACUGACGCCUAAGCUCUAUACAUUUCCACUUUAUGCCUCCUCCCUAGAUUUACUUUCUUCCCUGUUCUGCUGUCUCAUACGCCAGUACAAAAUGGCGCUCUUCCUGGUUCUUCAUCACCG
rnacentral:lncRNA from 1 species